rnacentral:rRNA from 1 species
AACCUUACCAGGUCUUGACAUCCUUUGACCAUCCUAGAGAUAGGACUUUCCCUUCGGGGACAAAGUGACAGGUGGUGCAUGGUUGUCGUCAGCUCGUGUCGUGAGAUGUUGGGUUAAGUCCCGCAACGAGCGCAACCCUUAUUGUUAGUUGCCAUCAUUCAGUUGGGCACUCUAGCGAGACUGCCGCAGACAAUGCGGAGGAAGGUGGGGAUGACGUCAAAUCAUCAUGCCCCUUAUGACCUGGGCUACACACGUGCUACAAUGGAGAGUACAACGAGUCGCRAAGCCGCGAGGCUAAGCCAAUCUCUUAAAGCUCUUCUCAGUUCGGAUUGUAGGCUGCAACUCGCCUACAUGAAGCCGGAAUCGCUAGUAAUCGCGGAUCAGCACGCCGCGGUGAAUACGUUCCCGGG